CCUGCCAGUAGUCAUAUGCUUGUCUCAAAGAUUAAGCCAUGCAUGUCUAAGUAUAAACGACUCUAUACUGUGAAACUGCGAAUGGCUCAUUAUAUCAGUUAUAGUUUAUUUGAUAGUCCCUACUACUUGGAUAACCGUAGUAAUUCUAGAGCUAAUACAUGCAUUCAAGCCCCGACUUCUGGAAGGGGUGUAUUUAUUAGAUAAAAAACCAACGCCCUUCGGGGCUCCUUGGUGAUUCAUAAUAACUAAACGAAUCGCAUGGCCUUGCGCCGGCGAUGGUUCAUUCAAAUUUCUGCCCUAUCAACUUUCGAUGGUAGGAUAGUGGCCUACCAUGGUAUCAACGGGUAACGGGGAAUUAGGGUUCUAUUCCGGAGAGGGAGCCUGAGAAAUGGCUACCACAUCCAAGGAAGGCA
rnacentral:rRNA from 1 species